AUUGAACGCUGGCGGCAGGCCUAACACAUGCAAGUCGAGCGGAUGACGGGAGCUUGCUCCUUGAUUCAGCGGCGGACGGGUGAGUAAUGCCUAGGAAUCUGCCUGGUAGUGGGGGACAACGUUUCGAAAGGAACGCUAAUACCGCAUACGUCCUACGGGAGAAAGCAGGGGACCUUCGGGCCUUGCGCUAUCAGAUGAGCCUAGGUCGGUUUAGCUAGUUGGUGGGGCAAUGGCUCACCAAGGCGACGAUCCGUAACUGGUCUGAGAGGAUGAUCAGUCACGAUGGAACUGAGACACGGUCCAGACUCCUACGGGAGGCAGCAGUGGGGAAUAUUGGACAAUGGGCGAAAGCCUGAUCCAGCCAUGCCGAGUGUGUGAAGAAGGUCUUCGGAUUGUAAAGCACUUUAAGUUGGGAGGAAGGGCAGUAAGCUAAUACCUUGCUGUUUUGACGUUACCGACAGAAUAAGCACCGGCUAACUCUGUGCCAGCAGCCGCCGUAAUAC
rnacentral:rRNA from 1 species